rnacentral:rRNA from 1 species
GACGAACGCUGGCGGCGUGCUUAACACAUGCAAGUCGAACGAAGAGCGAUGGAAGCUUGCUUCUAUCAAUCUUAGUGGCGAACGGGUGAGUAACGCGUAAUCAACCUGCCCUUCAGAGGGGGACAACAGUUGGAAACGACUGCUAAUACCGCAUACGAUCUAAUCUUGGCAUCGAGGAUAGAUGAAAGGUGGCCUCUACAUGUAAGCUAUCACUGAAGGAGGGGAUUGCGUCUGAUUAGCUAGUUGGAGGGGUAACGGCCCACCAAGGCGAUGAUCAGUAGCCGGUCUGAGAGGAUGAACGGCCACAUUGGGACUGAGACACGGCCCAGACUCCUACGGGAGGCAGCAGUGGGGAAUCUUCCGCAAUGGACGAAAGUCUGACGGAGCAACGCCCGCGUGAGUGAUGACGGCCCUUCGGGGUUGUAAAAGCUUCUGUUAAAUCCGGGA